rnacentral:rRNA from 1 species
GCGUGGAGGACCGAACCCACUUAGGUUGAAAACUGAGGGGAUGACUUGUGGGGAGGACUGAAAGUGUAAUCAAACCAGGAGAUAGCUCGUUCUCUCCGAAAUAUCUUGAGGGAUAGCGUCGAGCCACUACUUUACGGGGGUAGAGAUACUGAAUCGGAUGGGGGCCCUUCCCAGGGUACCCCACCGAACCAAACUCCGAAUACCGUAAAGAUUAUCUCGGCAGUCAGUCCCUGGGGGAUAAGCUCCAGGGUCGAGAGGGAAACAACCCAGAUCGCCUGCUAAGGUCCCGAAGGACCACUUAGUCACUAAGGAAGUUGAAGUGCCGUGACAGCUGGGAUGUUGGCUUAGAAGCAGCCACCAUUUAAAAAGUGCGUAACAGCUUACCAGUCGAGCAUUUCUGCGCCGAUAAUGAACGGGAGUAAGUGGUACACCGAAGCAGCGGGCUCUAGUUUACUAGAGCGGUAGGAGAGCGCCGAUGAUCAGAUACGAGCCGUACGGUAACGAGCGGUGUCGGGGUCAUCGGGUGAUUAUGCCGGAAUGAGUAACGAUAAAACAGGUGAGAAUCCUGUUCGCCGAAAGCCUAAGGUUUCCUGGGGAAGGCAAUUCCGCCCAGGGUUAGCCGGUACCUUAGUCGAGGCCGAAAGGCGUAGACGAUGGAUAGCAGGUCAACAUUCCUGCGCCGGUUGUGUAUUCGAUGUGGGGACGGCGUCCAGAAAGUGAGCGGUACGACUAGAAAUGUCCGUAGCGAAAGCUGAGAUAUCCAGGGUUAAAAUACUGGUGUUCGUCAAGGCUGAGCUCGAGGGCGUUUAAGUUCUCGAAGUCACUGGAAGGACGUCCUAGAAAAGCCACUAGGUUAAGCAACUGACCGUACUAAAACUGACACAGGUAGGUGAGAAGAGAAUUCUAAGGCGCUCGGGAGAACGGUGGUUAAGGAACUCUGCAAAAUGGCCCCGUAAGUUCGCGAUAAGGGGCGCCUUCUUCGGUUCACGCUGAGGGAGGCCACAGAAAAUCGGCUCUAACGACUGUUUAUCAAAAACACAGGUCUCUGCUAACACGCAAGUGGAUGUAUAGAGACUGACGCCUGCCCGGUGCUGGUAGGUUAAGGAAGACGGUUAGCCUCACGGCGAAGCUGGCGACCGAAGCCCCAGUAAACGGCGGCCCUAACUAUGAGGGUCCUAAGGUAGCGAAGUUCCUUGUCGGGUAAGUUCCGACCUGCAUGAAAGGCGUAACGAUUUGAGCACUGUCUCAACCACCGACCCGGUGAAAUUGUAGUUGUGGUGAAGAUGCCACAUACCCGCGGUUAGACGGAAAGACCCCGUGAACCUUUACUGUAGGCUGAUAUUGGGUUGAGAUAUGUCUUGUGUAGGAUAGCUGGGAGGCUUUGAACAGAUGGCGCUAGCCAUUUGGGAGCCGUUGUUGAAAUACCAGCCUGGUCAUAUUUUAAUUCUAACUUUGAUCCCCUGAAUCGGGGCAAAGGACAGUGUCAGUCGGGCAGUUUGACUGGGGCGGUCUCCUCCCAAAGAGUAACGGAGGAGUACAAAGGUACACUCAGCCUGGUCGGCAAUCAGGCGUAGAGCGUAAAGGUAGAAGUGUGCUUGACUGCGAGACUCAUAAGUCGAGCAGGAACGAAAGUUGGUCUUAGUGAUCCGGUAAUCCCGAAUGGAAGGGUUAUCGCUCAUCAGAUAAAAGGUACUCCGGGGAUAACAGGCUUAUCGCAUCCGAGCGUCCACAGCGGCGAUGCGGUUUGGCACCUCGAUGUCGGCUCAUCACAUCCUGGGGGUGUAGAAGCUCCCAAGGGUUUGGCUGUUCGCCAAUGAAAGUGGUACGUGAGCUGGGUUCAGACCGUCGUGAGACAGGUCGGUCCCUAUCUGCCGUGGGCGUUCGAAUCUUGAGGGGAUUCAACUUUAGUACGAGAGGAUUUAGUUGGACAUAGCUCUGGUGUACCAGUUGUCGCGCUAGCGGCACGGCUGGAUAGCUAACUAUGGAAAGGAUAAACGCUGAAAGCAUCUAAGCGUGAAGCCCAACCCGAGAUAAGGAUUCGUUUGUCAUUUGACGAAAGCCCCCUGGAAGACGACCAGGUUGAUAGGCUGGGCGUGUAAGCACGGUAACGUGUUAAGCUAACCAGUACUAAUGGGCGAAGGUUUGGUCAU